UUUUAGGAAUGCUUUAAGUGAACAACAUGCAAACCCCAGGGAUGGAAAAAACCCUAAGAAUGCCCAAUUUCCGUGUUAAAUAAGAAAGAAGCCCUUUGAUUGGACAUUAUGUCUUAACUCAGGUAAUAAUGUUACCUCGGCCGGGUGCAGUGGCUCACACCUGUAAUCCCAGCACUUUGGGAGGCUGAGGCGGGUGCAUCAUGAGGUCAGGAGAUCAAGACCAUCCCAGCUAACAUGGUGAAACCCUGUCUUUACUAAAAAUACAAAAAAUUAGCCGGGUGUGGGGGCGGGUGCCUGUGAGCAAAGAUCAUGCCACUGCACUCCAGCCUGGGCGACAGUGCGAGACUCCAUCUAAAAAAAUAAAUAAAUAAAAUAAA
rnacentral:lncRNA from 10 species